UCCGACUUAAAGCAAAGAUCUGCUGGCAUCAAUGAGUUCUCCAUUUUGUCCGUGUGGUAUUUCUUGGGGAUGCUACCAAUGUUGCGCCCUUGGGCAUCCAUUCUCUUAAUGGCCGAAGAUGCAAAAGAGUUCUACCUCGUGCUUGUGUGCUCCCCUUGACUUCGGAUAUGCUCUGCACCAUGGUUCUGGGUGCGUCUAAUGCUUGAAGGUCCUUUUGGGUUGCUCGUCUUCUAGGCACUAUUUGUGGAUAGAAUCACUACCUUAGCUUAUGUGUUUCCUUUGUGCUUCGUCCAGUUGUCUUUUGCCUGCUCGACGAUGACUCAGCUUCAGUUCGGAUGUGAGAGCAGUAGCAUCG
rnacentral:misc_RNA from 1 species